UAGAGUUUGAUCAUGGCUCAGGAUGAACGCUAGCGGCAGGCUUAACACAUGCAAGUCGAGGGGUAACAGAGAAAAGCUUGCUUUUCUGCUGACGACCGGCGCACGGGUGCGUAACGCGUAUACAAUCUGCCUUAUACAGAGGGAUAGCCUUUAGAAAUGAAGAUUAAUACCUUAUAGUCUAUAUAUAUAGCAUUAUAUAAAUAGUAAAGCUCCGGUGGUAUAAGAUGAGUAUGCGUCCUAUUAGUUAGUUGGUGAGGUAACGGCUUACCAAGACAACGAUAGGUAGGGGCCCUGAGAGGGGGAUCCCCCACACUGGUACUGAGACACGGACCAGACUCCUACGGGAGGCAGCAGUGAGGAAUAUUGGACAAUGGAGGCAACUCUGAUCCAGCCAUGCCGCGUGCAGGAAGACGGCCCUAUGGGUUGUAAACUGCUUUUAUAUAGGAAGAAACC
rnacentral:rRNA from 1 species